GUCGAGCGGUAACAGAAAGUAGCUUGCUACUUUGCUGACGAGCGGCGGACGGGUGAGUAAUGCUUGGGAACAUGCCUUGAGGUGGGGGACAACAGUUGGAAACGACUGCUAAUACCGCAUAAUGUCUACGGACCAAAGGGGGCUUCGGCUCUCGCCUUUAGAUUGGCCCAAGUGGGAUUAGCUAGUUGGUGAGGUAAUGGCUCACCAAGGCGACGAUCCCUAGCUGGUUUGAGAGGAUGAUCAGCCACACUGGGACUGAGACACGGCCCAGACUCCUACGGGAGGCAGCAGUGGGGAAUAUUGCACAAUGGGCGCAAGCCUGAUGCAGCCAUGCCGCGUGUGUGAAGAAGGCCUUCGGGUUGUAAAGCACUUUCAGUCAGGAGGAAAGGUUAGCAGUUAAUACCUGCUAGCUGUGACGUUACUGACAGAAGAAGCACCGGCUAACUCCGUGCCAGCAGCCGCGGUAAUAC
rnacentral:rRNA from 1 species